CCUCUGGGGAUUACAGACUUAAAGGGUCUUAAAGGUGGAAAAGGAUUAAGACCCCUAGCUGGUGUGUAUCGGGCUCAGGAAGGGUGGGUACAGAGGAAACAGAGGAGCUACACUUAAGAGUGUCCGUCUUUCUGGUCCAUGGCUUUCUCUAGAAUGGAGAGAAUGGAAACCAUAGAGCCAGGACCCACAACGCCUGGUUCUCCGGUUCUAUCCCAGUGGUUGUGGGUAAGUCCUACCCUUCUCAGUGCCUCAGCUGCCUUUCCGUGAAAUAAACAGAUUGAACUAAGUAGUCUGGGGGGGGGGGCCUUUUCUGGUCUGGUCUGUGAAGUGAGCUGUACAGAAGCCAGUGGCCCUCAGGUGAAGAUUGGGUGUCCCAGGUCAGUCAGUUCCUGGCAAGUUCUGGCCAUGGACACCAACAGAAUGGUAAACACAGGACUUCCUCUUCAGACAAGUAAUAAGAAAUAUGAAGGCCCAGCCUGAGGUAAACAGCUCCUCAUUCAAUUUCCCAGGAGGGCUGGCCUCCCCUCUGGAUUCAAAAGGAGACAGAAAGGAAACCCCCGCUCAAGGGGUGGGGCCUCUAAUCCACCCUUUCACAGGCUCCGGAGGUAGACAAUAGCUUCAGCUCUCUGGACAGCAGGCUCUUUUCGGUUUGUGCUCCCCAUCUGACAAGAAUGCGGAAUAGCCCUAAUCCUGUCAGAGGAGUUGCUCACAAUGCCCAUAGCUCGGUCACCCCGGCAACGGGCCAAGGAUGGCGUGCCCUCCACCCCAUCAGGCCCUAAAGCUGCAUUGCUGAAAGGGGACAGGCCCCAUUCUCAGCCCUCCCCAGAACAGGGCAGGGAGGACAACAGCAGAUGGUCACCAUGGAGCCUCAUCCCUGAGAGGCCCAAUGCAGGGGGAUGAUGCAGAUGGGGGAUAAUGCAAAUGGGAGGAUCGGUCUGCUUCAACAUUCUGCUCUAACCCCACUCCCUAAAGAGCUAGGCAGAAAAGUCCUGGGCUUAGAACAGGGGAGCAGGGCAAAGGCCUUGAAUAUUCCUUCAGCUAGGAGAUUGCUCUCUCUUCUCCAUUCAGCACAGAGCCAUACUCCCACACGCCGCUUCUCCACGCUGCUUUUCUCAGCCUGAAGGGGAGAUUGCAUGGCCUGCUCUCUUCUCUACAUACAAGGGGUGAGGAGCAGUCGACGAACCCCAGUUAUCCACAAUAGGUACUAGGAGAUCCUGUCUGGCACUUCCCAGGAAGGAAAUAAGGCAUGUUAUUGGUCCUCCAUCAGUCCCCCAAAGGGUGACUGAAGACAAGGAUUGAUUUAUCACUGGUAUGGUGGGGCUAGGCCACUAUCCCCAAACUCUGCCAGCCCUAGUAUAUCAAAGUUCAAUCUACUACCACUCAAGACUAGAAAGAGCCCUGUUUGCAGAAGGCCCUUAACAGCUGGACACUAGUGAACACUCAUUACAAAUAUCUAUUUGUUAAGUCCCUGGAUGAUCUUUGCCUGAAGGAACCAGUGACCAGAUAAGGUUUCUCCGAUCCCCUCCUCCCCGGGCCUGGGUGGAGUCUCCCUCAGUUACAAGAACUAAUUUCUAGAGACCUUUGUUCUCACCUGCAGGAUUACUGGCAACUGUGCCUAAGGAUGAAAAUAAGCUGGCUGAAGCCUAAGAAGAAGGUACCAACUGCAGACAGGUACCCAACCCAAAGGAUGGCCACAGGCCAAGGUCUUUGUCCUUACACAAGUUGGGUUUGUUUGUUUUUUUUUAAUUUUUGUAAAUUUAUUAAUCUUA